rnacentral:siRNA from 1 species
UUAGCCAACGACACGUGCCUU